AACUGGCUUUUGUUCAGCCCUUAGGGAAGAAAGCCUGUGGCCUUUAGCAAGCAAGGAUGGGGGUGUAACCAGGCUCAUCAGACCUCCCAUCCCCUCACAGCCACAGACCCAGCUUUAAGUUUCCCAGACGGAAGAUUAUUCUUACUGCAGAUCUUAGCAACCUCAGCACAUGACUCUUUUUCUUUCCUCAUUAAGUCAAGAACCUUUGGCCUUUUCACUUAAAAGAAGCACUCUAAGGCUUCGCUUUGACAUACCCCAGUUGCCAGCAUCACUACUGUUUGGGACCAUUAGGAAGUAAAUUCAGGGAGACUUGAACACAAGCACUGCUUAUCUCGAAAGCUGAUCUGCUCACCGAGGUGGCCCUUGAGCACGGACAGCCUGGAUCUGCUGGGUAAAGGGAGAAGUUAUGUCCAGGGUGGGACAGAGAGGACGGCGAGAGAUUUCCUCACUACUCAGAACAGCGGGAAAUUCAAAACUUAGGGAUUAUUUCUGAAAUUUUCCAUUUAAAAUUUUCUAUUUAAAAUUGACGAAGGGUAACUGAAACCAGAGAAAGCAAGACUGACGAUAAGGGAGGGGCCUCCUGUACUCCAAGAGCACUGAAUCUGGAAAAACUCAACACAUCGAUGGAGUCAUAUAUUUAAUUUUUUCUUAAAAGCCGCCUGCGGGGUAUUGUAGAAACGCUGCGCUGCCUAUCACAGCUUGUGAUGUGACACGUUCAUUCUGCAAGUUUAAACUUCGCCUAGAUCGGUUCUUGGGGAAAAGCUGUGCUUCAGAGACAAGGUUGAAGAACUUCGCCUGCAUAUGAUGGAAGAUGACAAUGGGAACCACAGGUGUCAUUGGUGGCUUUGUUUUACAAAGUCUUCACCUUUCUGCUGAGUCACGGGACUAAGUUCAACACAAUUUCUACUUUCCGCCUUCCUUUGGAAUAAUAGUUUUGGAAGCCAAGUAUUAGUAUAUGAUACCAGGUGUGUUUUCUAAAGAUUCAGGUUCAGUGGGCUGAAUGCACUUUCAUGACUUCAUUAGACCACUGAGCCCAAGGAGAAAAGUGCCAAUCUUACUAGACAUGAGGAAAAAGACACAUCUUUUGCUCUUGCUGGAAGUGGUGUCCUACUUUCUACAAGCAGUCGUCAUCUGGUUUAUACUUGCCUUGUUCAGUUUUUGUGUGAUAUUUUAUUCUCUGCCUAAUAGAUAUUAAAGUAUCAAGCUGUCAA